AGUGAACGCUGGCGGUAGGCCUAACACAUGCCAGUCGAACGGCAGCACAGUAAGAGCUUGCUCUUACGGGUGGCGAGUGGCGGACGGGUGAGGAAUACAUCGGAAUCUACUUUUUCGUGGGGGAUGACGUAGGGAAACUUACGCUAAUACCGCAUACGACCUACGGGUGAAAGCAGGGGAUCUUCGGACCUUGCGCGAUUGAAUGAGCCGAUGUCGGAUUAGCUAGUUGGCGGGGUAAAGGCCCACCAAGGCGACGAUCCGUAGCUGGUCUGAGAGGAUGAUCAGCCACACUGGAACUGAGACACGGUCCAGACUCCUACGGGAGGCAGCAGUGGGGAAUAUUGGACAAUGGGCGCAAGCCUGAUCCAGCCAUACCGCGUGGGUGAAGAAGGCCUUCGGGUUGUAAAGCCCUUUUGUGGGGAAAGAAAAGCAGCAGGUUAAUACCCCGCUGUUCUGACGGUACCCAAAGAAUAAGCACCGGCUAACUUCGU
rnacentral:rRNA from 1 species